rnacentral:rRNA from 1 species
GCUAAACAUCUAGCUUUCCUCAUCUAAGACUUUUUAUAUACUCAAGAAAGAAUAAAACAUUUUAUUAUUUAAGUAGAGGUGAUCAAAAAGAUUCUAAAAGCUUUAAACUUAGUACCGCAAGGGAACGAUGAAAUAUUAAUGAAAUAAUAUAAAGCAUAUAAUAGUAGAAGUUAAAACUCGUACCUUUUGCAUCAUGGUCUAGCAAGUCCUAAUCAAGCAAAAAGAAACUUUAGUUUGAUAUCCCGAAACUAGGUGAGCUACUUCAAAAUAGCCUUAGAGCCAACCCGUCUCUGUAGCAAAAGAGUGGGAAAAUUUUCAAGUAGAGGUGAUAGACCUAACGAACCUAGUGAUAGCUGGUUAUUCAAGAAAAGAAUUUUAGUUCACCCCCUAAGCCUCCACAUGACCUUUAACACCACCUCAGGCUUAAGAGAUAUUCAAAUAAGGCACAGCUUAUUUGAAAUAGGAUACAACCUAAACUCCAGGGUAAAUUACUUUAAUAAAAUUAAGUUGGCCUAAAAGCAGCCACCUUUUAAAAAGCGUCAAAGCUUUAUUAUCUAAUCCAAUAAAUUUGUUUAACUAUUAUGAAACCCGUCAUCAUUAUUGAAUAGUUUCAUAAAUUAUGAAAGUUACCAUGCUAGAACUAGUAACAAGAAAAUGAAUUUCUCCAUAUUGUAAGCUUACACCAAAAUGGACUCCCCAUUGGUACUUAACGUUAAUGAUCCUAAUAUUUCAACAACUCAAGAAAACUAAAUAGCUUAAAUCGUUAACCUUACACUAGAACACUCCUGGAAAGAUUAAAAGGAAGAGAAGGAACUCGGCAAUAUCUAGUCCCGCCUGUUUACCAAAAACAUCGCCUCUUGCACCCACCCAUAAGAGGUCCCGCCUGCCCAGUGAUUAAUUUAACGGCCGCGUGAUUUUAAACGCGCAAAGGUAGCGAAAUCAUUUGUUCUUUAAAUGAGGACCAGUAUCAACGGCAUCACGAGGACUCAACUGUCUCCUCUCCCAAAUCAGUGAAACUAAUCUCCCUGUGAAAAAGCAGGAAUAACAAUAUAAGACGAGAAGACCCCAUGGAGCUUUAAACUUUAAGCAACUUUUAAUACUACAUUCCUUAAAAUAUUCUAGCUAUGCCCAAUAGUUUUAGGUUGGGGCGACCGCGGAGUAAAACUUAGCCUCCAUGACAAAAGGACAUUUCCUAAUCCAAGAAAGACAUUUCUAAGAAUCACUAACCUGAUGUUUCAUGACCCGACUAUCGAUCAACGAACCAAGUUACCCUGGGGAUAACAGCGCAAUCCAUUUUGAAAGCUCCUAUCGACAAAUGGGUUUACGACCUCGAUGUUGGAUCAGGAUACCCAGGUGGUGCA